rnacentral:vault_RNA from 1 species
GGGCUGGUUUUAGCUCAGCGGUUCCUUCGACAGAGCUUCUGCUAACUGCCCUUCAGGGGUGGUUAGAGACCCGCGGGCACUCUCCAGCCCUUUU